rnacentral:rRNA from 1 species
GACAGAGGGUGCAAACGUUGCUCGGAAUCACUGGGCGUAAAGCGCACGUAGGCGGCUUUCUAAGUCAGGGGUGAAAUCCUGGAGCUCAACUCCAGAACUGCCCUUGAUACUGGAGAGCUUGAGUUCGGGAGAGGUGAGUGGAACUGCGAGUGUAGAGGUGAAAUUCGUAGAUAUUCGCAAGAACACCAGUGGCGAAGGCGGCUCACUGGCCCGAUACUGACGCUGAGGUGCGAAAGCGUGGGGAGCAAACAGG